CUUGAAGAGAAGAGAUGACAAGCAAUUACUGGGCCUAAAUCUAGGAGAAGGCAGAAACCCAGAGAGGAAAACAAAGCUCCGAAGCUAAUUUUGCUCUGAGAGUGUUUGCUGAACCCUGCGGACUUGUAAUUUUGUUUUCACUGCUCGAGGGCUGUGGGACCACCAUAGACAGCAUAAUAAACGAUCCUUCCUUGUUGUAUAAAAAAAAAUGGAGUGACAACCAUAAAAAGGAAGAAAAUAACGGCAUUUGCAGCAACCUGGAUGGAACUGGGGACCAUUAUUCUAGGUGAAGUGACUCAGGAAUGGAAAACCAAACAUCAUAUGUUCUCACUGAUAUGUGGGAGCUAAGCUAUGAGGACUCAAAGGCAUAAGAAUGAUACAAUGGAUUUGGGGGCCUCGAGAGAAAGGGUAGGGGAGUGAGGG
rnacentral:lncRNA from 1 species